UGCAGCCAUAUCUCAUGAGAAGACAAGGAAUUACCUCUUCAAGAACAGAUAUAGUGGCUGGAGUAUAAUCAAGCUGGCGAGCUCCAUGUUUGGCACUAUAGUGGGAACAUGUAAUCCUGGUAUAUUAUGAUGGCUGAUGGAAAGCAAGGGAACAACGUUGUUGUCAGACCAAGGGUCCAGACUCCAGAUAUUGACAAAUUUGAAACAAAGAUUCAUCAGGUGAUUCACUCGUAUGGAGAUGAACACGGAGAAGGUCAACAACGGAUUGGUUGCUCUUGUGAACUACCUGUGGACAGGUCUUAUCCUAUUAGUCAGAGGCGACAACCCUAUGGAGAAUCUAGCAAUGAAGACUCUGAAUCUGCCUAGCACACAGGUAAGUGGAAACAUGAGGAAUGCUAGAGAAUGAGGACAUGGAGUCCAUGGCAAAUGGCCAAGGGGAAAUCAUGAGAUCAAACAAGUUAUUAUAUCGGUUUUGACAGAUUUCUGUUUUGAUUAAGACUAAACAUGUUUUAGGCUUGUUUAUCUUUGCUUCUCAUUAGUUUUCGUUAUAUUUUUAAAUAUCAUUAUGCUAUAAUAAUACACCAUAUUUCUUUAUAGAAUUUCAUACUUUCCUUUCA